AGAGUUUGAUCCUGGCUCAGGAUGAACGCUGGCGGCGUGCCUAAUACAUGCAAGUCGAGCGAACGGACGAGAAGCUUGCUUCUCUGAUGUUAGCGGCGGACGGGUGAGUAACACGUGGAUAACCUACCUAUAAGACUGGGAUAACUUCGGGAAACCGGAGCUAAUACCGGAUAAUAUUUUGAACCGCAUGGUUCAAAAGUGAAAGACGGUCUUGCUGUCACUUAUAGAUGGAUCCGCGCUGCAUUAGCUAGUUGGUAAGGUAACGGCUUACCAAGGCAACGAUGCAUAGCCGACCUGAGAGGGUGAUCGGCCACACUGGAACUGAGACACGGUCCAGACUCCUACGGGAGGCAGCAGUAGGGAAUCUUCCGCAAUGGGCGAAAGCCUGACGGAGCAACGCCGCGUGAGUGAUGAAGGUCUUCGGAUCGUAAAACUCUGUUAUUAGGGAAGAACAUAUGUGUAAGUAACUGUGCACAUCUUGACGGUACCUAAUCAGAAAGCCACGGCUAACUACGUGCCAGCAGCCGCGGUAAUACGUAGGUGGCAAGCGUUAUCCGGAAUUAUUGGGCGUAAAGCGCGCGUAGGCGGUUUUUUAAGUCUGAUGUGAAAGCCCACGGCUCAACCGUGGAGGGUCAUUGGAAACUGGAAAACUUGAGUGCAGAAGAGGAAAGUGGAAUUCCAUGUGUAGCGGUGAAAUGCGCAGAGAUAUGGAGGAACACCAGUGGCGAAGGCGACUUUCUGGUCUGUAACUGACGCUGAUGUGCGAAAGCGUGGGGAUCAAACAGGAUUAGAUACCCUGGUAGUCCACGCCGUAAACGAUGAGUGCUAAGUGUUAGGGGGUUUCCGCCCCUUAGUGCUGCAGCUAACGCAUUAAGCACUCCGCCUGGGGAGUACGACCGCAAGGUUGAAACUCAAAGGAAUUGACGGGGACCCGCACAAGCGGUGGAGCAUGUGGUUUAAUUCGAAGCAACGCGAAGAACCUUACCAAAUCUUGACAUCCUUUGACAACUCUAGAGAUAGAGCCUUCCCCUUCGGGGGACAAAGUGACAGGUGGUGCAUGGUUGUCGUCAGCUCGUGUCGUGAGAUGUUGGGUUAAAGUCCCGCAACGAGCGCAACCCUUAAGCUUAGUUGCCAUCAUUAAGUUGGGCACUCUAAGUUGACUGCCGGUGACAAACCGGAGGAAGGUGGGGAUGACGUCAAAUCAUCAUGCCCCUUAUGAUUUGGGCUACACACGUGCUACAAUGGACAAUACAAAGGGCAGCGAAACCGCGAGGUCAAGCAAAUCCCAUAAAGUUGUUCUCAGUUCGGAUUGUAGUCUGCAACUCGACUACAUGAAGCUGGAAUCGCUAGUAAUCGUAGAUCAGCAUGCUACGGUGAAUACGUUCCCGGGUCUUGUACACACCGCCCGUCACACCACGAGAGUUUGUAACACCCGAAGCCGGUGGAGUAACCUUUUAGGAGCUAGCCGUCGAAGGUGGGACAAAUGAUUGGGGUGAAGUCGUAACAAGGUAGCCGUAUCGGAAGGUGCGGCUGGAUCACCU
rnacentral:rRNA from 1 species